AGACAGUCCACCCACCAGGCACAUUUACUUCUUGUGCCAGAACUCCAUCUGUAUUUCGAAACUGCUGACCAUGAAAAUGAUGUUAGACAAAAAGCAAAUUCAAGUGAUUUUCUUAUUCAAGUUCGAAAUGAGUCGUAAAGGCAGCGGCGACAACUUGCGACAUCAACAAUACAUUUGUCCCAGGAACUGCUAACGAACAUACAGUGAAGUGGUGGGUUCAAGAAGUUUUGCAAAGGAGAUGAAAGCCUUAAAGAUGAGGAGCAUAGUGGCCAGCCAUCGGAAGUUGACAACGAGUAAUUGAGAGCAAUCAUUGAAGCUGAUCCUCUUACAAAUAAAAGAGAAGUUGCCGAAGAACUCAACGUUGGCCAAUCUAUGAUCCGUCUGCAUUUAAAGCAAAUUGGAAAGCUGAAAAAGCUCUAUAAGUAGAUGUCUCAUGAGCUGAGCGAAAAAAAACAAAAAACAGAAAACAAAAAACUGUCAUUUUGAAGUGUCAUCUCUUAUUCCACACAACAACAAUGAAUCAUUUCUCAAUCAGAUUGUGACAUAUGAUGAAAAGUGGAUUUUAUAUGACAACCAGCAAUGACUAGCUCAGUGAUUGGACCUAGAAGAAGCUCCAAAGCACUUCCCAAAGCAAAACUUGCACCAUAAAAAGGUCAUGGUCACUGUUUAGUAGUCUGCUGCCAGUCUGAUCCACUAUAGCAUUCUGAAUCCUGGUGAAACUAUUACGUCUGAGAAGUACGCUCAGCACAUCAAUAAGCUGCACUGAAAACUGCAACACCUGCAGCCAGCAUUGGUCAACAGAAAGGGCCAAAUUCUUCUCCAUGACAACCCUCGACCACACGUUGCACAACCAACACUUCAAAAGUUAAAAGAAUUGGGCUACAAAGUUUUUCCUCAUCCUCCAUGUUCACCUGACCUCUCACCAACUGACUACUACUUCUUCAAGCAUCUCAACAUCUUUUUGCAUAAAAGCCUUCCACAACCAGCAAGAUGCAGAAAAUGCUUUCCAAG
rnacentral:lncRNA from 1 species